rnacentral:rRNA from 1 species
UACGUAGGUGGAUAAUUAAGUCAGAGGUGAAAUCCUGCAGCUCAACUGUAGAAUUGCCUUUGAUACUGGUUAUCUUGAGUCAUUAUGAAGUGGUUAGAAUGUGUAGUGUAGCGGUGAAAUGCAUAGAUAUUACACAGAAUACCGAUUGCGAAGGCAGAUCACUAAUAAUGUACUGACACUGAGGGACGAAAGCGUGGGGAGCGAACAGGAUUAGAUACCCUGGUAGUCC